UAGGGAAUCUUCGGCAAUGGACGAAAGUCUGACCGAGCAACGCCGCGUGAGUGAAGAAGGUUUUCGGAUCGUAAAACUCUGUUGGUAGAGAAGAACGUUGGUGAGAGGGGAAAGCUCAUCAAGUGACGGUAACUACCCAGAAAGGGACGGCUAACUACGUGCCAC
rnacentral:rRNA from 1 species